rnacentral:rRNA from 1 species
ACAAUGGGCGCAAGCCUGAUGGAGCAACACCGCGUGAGUGAAGAAGGGUUCGGCUCGUAAAGCCCUGUUAGUUAAAGAAGAACACGUAUGAGAGUAACUGUUCAUACGUUGACGGUAUUUAACCAGAAAGUCACGGCUAACUACGUGCCAGCAGCCGCGGUAAUACGUAGGUGGCAAGCGUUAUCCGGAUUUAUUGGGCGUAAAGAGAGUGCAGGCGGUUUUCUAAGUCUGAUGUGAAAGCCUUCGGCUUAACCGGAGAAGUGCAUCGGAAACUGGAUAACUUGAGUGCAGAAGAGGGUAGUGGAACUCCAUGUGUAGCGGUGGAAUGCGUAGAUAUAUGGAAGAACACCAGUGGCGAAGGCGGCUACCUGGUCUGCAACUGACGCUGAGGCUCGAAAGCAUGGGUAGCGAACAGGAUUAGAUACCCUGGUAG